GGAUGUGAGGUUGAUCUGCCUGCAACAUCUGUCACCCUAUUGAUUGCCAGUGUUGAUUCGGCUGGUCUGGCUGGGUAGAUGGGUGUCCUCUUCCUUCCUCGCUACUCCAUGUCUCUCCUGAAGCUGAGCUCUUCAUCCAAGAGGAUGAACUUCCCCAAAUAGAGAUGCUAUAUACUAGUAGCUGCUUUCCCCUACUAAAACCUCCAAAUAAGCUCUGUACUUAAUGGAACAUGCAAAUUAUAUUCCUCAUAGUAGUGAGACUACAUCAUUCAUUUUAAUUUGGUGAAAUAAAAUAAUUUAUUAUUAGAAGGGCUAUGCUAAUAAGUUUA
ensembl:misc_RNA 7SK 7SK RNA